UGACCUCAAAUCAGGUAGGACUACCCGCUGAACUUAAGCAUAUCAAUAAGCGGAGGAAAAGAAACUAACAAGGAUUCCCCUAGUAACUGCGAGUGAAGCGGGAAAAGCUCAAAUUUAAAAUCUGGCAGUCUUUGGCUGUCCGAGUUGUAAUCUAGAGAAGUGCUAUCCGCGCUGGACCGUGUACAAGUCUCCUGGAAUGGAGCGUCAUAGAGGGUGAGAAUCCCGUCUUUGACACGGACUGCCAGGGCUUUGUGAUACGCUCUCAAAGAGUCGGGUUGUUUGGGAAUGCAGCUCAAAAUGGGUGGUAAAUUCCAUCUAAAGCUAAAUAUUGGCGAGAGACCGAUAGCGAACAAGUACCGUGAGGGAAAGAUGAAAAGAACUUUGGAAAGAGAGUUAAACAGUACGUGAAAUUGCUGAAAGGGAAACGCUUGAAGUCAGUCGCGUUGACCAGGGAUCAACCUUGCUGUUGCUUGGUGCACUUUCUGGUUGACGGGUCAGCAUCAAUUUUGACUAUUGGAAAAAGAUUAGGGGAAUGUGACAUCUUUGGAUGUGUUAUAGCCCUUGGUUGCAUACAAUGGUUGGGAUUGAGGAACUCAGCACGCCGCAAGGCCGGGUUUAAAACCACGUACGUGCUUAGGAUGC
rnacentral:rRNA from 1 species